ensembl:snoRNA
AGUGUGGGUGAUGAAACGACGUCCUUAGGUUGGUCUGUUUUGGCCGUAUUGGUCAAUGUUUAAGACUCUCCGAUGCUAGGAUUUGUCAUAGUUACGCUGACACAUC